GUAGGGGGCGAGCGUUGUCCGGAAUUACUGGGCGUAAAGGGUUCGCAGGCGGCAUGACAAGUCCGAUGUAAAAGGCGAAAGCUCAACUUUCGUAAGCAUCGGAAACUGUCAAGCUUGAGUGAAGGAGAGGCAAGUGGAAUUCCUAGUGUAGCGGUGGAAUGCGUAGAUAUUAGGAGGAAUACCGGUGGCGAAGGCGACUUGCUGGACUUCAACUGACGCUGAGGAACGAAAGCGUGGGUAGCAAACAGGAUUAGAUACCCUGGUAGUCCACGCCGUAAACGAUGAGUGCUAGGUGUCGGGGGUCAAACCUCGGUGCCGUCGUUAACACACUAAGCACUCCGCCUGGGGAGUACGUGCGCAAGCAUGAAACUCAAAGGAAUUGACGGGGACCCGCACAAGCAGCGGAGCAUGUGGUUUAAUUCGAAGCAACGCGAAGAACCUUACCAGGACUUGAAAUACUAGCGCCCACUUUAGAGAUAAAGUUUUUUCUUCGGAAACGCUAAUACAGGUGGUGCAUGGUUGUCGUCAGCUCGUGCCGUGAGAUGUUGGGUUAAGUCCCGCAACGAGCGCAACCCUUACUUCUAGUUGCCAGCACGUAAUGGUGGGAACUCUAGAGGGACUGCCGAUGAUAAAUCGGAGGAAGGUGGGGAUGACGUCAAAUCAUCAUGCCCUUUAUGUCCUGGGCUACACACGUGCUACAAUGGUCGGUACAGAGGGCAGCGAAAGAGCGAUCUCAAGCGAAUCUCAAAAAACCGAUCCCAGUUCGGAUUGCAGGCUGCAACUCGCCUGCAUGAAGUCGGAGUUGCUAGUAAUCGCAGAUCAGAAUGCUGCGGUGAAUGCGUUCCCGGGUCUUGUACACACCGCCCGUCACACCAUGGGAGUUGGCAAUACCCGAAGCCGGCGAGCUAACCGCAAGGAGGCAGCCGUCGAAGGUAGGGUUAAUGACUGGGGUG
rnacentral:rRNA from 1 species